rnacentral:rRNA from 1 species
AGUGAACGCUGGCGGUAGGCCUAACACAUGCAAGUCGAACGGCAGCACAGUAAGAGCUUGCUCUUAUGGGGGGCGAGUGGCGGACGGGUGAGGAAUACAUCGGAAUCUACUUUUUCGUGGGGGAUAACGUAGGGAAACGUACGCUAAUACCGCAUACGACCUACGGGUGAAAGCAGGAGAGCUUCGGACCUUGCUCGAGUCACUGAGCCGAUGUCGGAUUAGCUAGUUGGCGGGGUAAAGGCCCACCAAGGCAACGAUCCGUAGCAGGUCUGAGAGGAUGAUCAGCCACACUGGAACUGAGACACGGUCCAGACUCCUACGGGAGGCAGCAGUGGGGAAUAUUGGACAAUGGGCGCAAGCCUGAUGCAGCCAUGCCGCGUGGGUGAAGAAGGCCUUCGGGUUGUAAAGCCCUUUUGUUGGGAAAGAAAAGCAGCAGGUUAAUACCCCGCUGUUCUGACGGUACCCAAAGAAUAAGCACCGGCUAACUUCGUG